rnacentral:tRNA from 1 species
GCGGCUAUAGUUCAGUCGGUUAGAACGCUUGAUUGUGGAUCAAGAGGUCGUGGGUUCGAGCCCCACUAGCCGCCCCA